rnacentral:rRNA from 1 species
ACUCUCGGCAACGGAUAUCUAGGCUCUCGCAUCGAUGAAGAACGUAGCGAAAUGCGAUACUUGGUGUGAAUUGCAGAAUCCCGUGAACCAUCGAGUUUUUGAACGCAAGUUGCGCCCAAAGCCGUUAGGCCGAGGGCACGUCUGCCUGGGCGUCACGCAUCGCG